GAUUGGUGAUGGUGUGAGGGAGGGGGUGAUGGUGUGAGGAAGCCCCCUUCCUCACACCAUCACCCCCUUUCUCACACAAUCA